rnacentral:lncRNA from 1 species
GGGAAAGUUUCAAAUAUAUUUAGGUGGGCAUAUGGAAUUGUUUUGUUUGAAGUUUUUACGCUAGAGGUACGCUUUAUCCUACAAUAAGUAAUCGUGAACUACUAAAAUUUUUAAAGUCUGGUUGCAGGAUGGAUCGACCAGAAAAUUGUUCUCAACCUAUGUAUGAUAUAAUGGUACAGUGUUGGAGUGACGAUCCUUUACAGCAACCCACUUUUACAGAGUUAUGUAAGCUUUUUGACGGAAUAAUUGCUGGAGGUGACAGUUAUUUGAGUUUUGAUAUUAACGAAGAAAAUAGUUAUUACAAAGUACCCUCAAUUUACAACAAGUCUUUUAAAACAUAUUUUGGAAAAAGAGU